rnacentral:rRNA from 1 species
AGUCGAACGGCAGCGGGGGAGAAGCUUGCUUCUCCUGCCGGCGAGUGGCGAACGGGUGAGUAAUACAUCGGAACGUGCCCUGUAGUGGGGGAUAACUAGUCGAAAGAUUAGCUAAUACCGCAUACGACCUGAGGGUGAAAGUGGGGGACCGCAAGGCCUCAUGCUAUAGGAGCGGCCGAUGUCUGAUUAGCUAGUUGGUGGGGUAAAGGCCUACCAAGGCGACGAUCAGUAGCUGGUCUGAGAGGACGAUCAGCCACACUGGGACUGAGACACGGCCCAGACUCCUACGGGAGGCAGCAGUGGGGAAUUUUGGACAAUGGGCGAAAGCCUGAUCCAGCAAUGCCGCGUGUGUGAAGAAGGCCUUCGGGUUGUAAAGCACUUUUGUCCGGAAAGAAAUGGCUCUGGUUAAUACCUGGGGUCGAUGACGGUACCGGAAGAAUAAGGACCGGCUAACUACGUGCCAGCAGCCGCGGUAAUACGUAGGGUCCAAGCGUUAAUCGGAAUUACUGGGCGUAAAGCGUGCGCAGGCGGUUGUGCAAGACCGAUGUGAAAUCCCCGAGCUUAACUUGGGAAUUGCAUUGGUGACUGCACGGCUAGAGUGUGUCAGAGGGGGGUAGAAUUCCACGUGUAGCAGUGAAAUGCGUAGAGAUGUGGAGGAAUACCGAUGGCGAAGGCAGCCCCCUGGGAUAACACUGACGCUCAUGCACGAAAGCGUGGGGAGCAAACAGGAUUAGAUACCCUGGUAGUCCACGCCCUAAACGAUGUCAACUAGUUGUUGGGGAUUCAUUUCCUUAGUAACGUAGCUAACGCGUGAAGUUGACCGCCUGGGGAGUACGGUCGCCAGAUUAAAACUCAAGGGAAUUGACGGGGACCCGCACAAGCGGUGGAUGAUGUGGAUUAAUUCGAUGCAACGCGAAAACCUUAC